UGGGCACUCUAAGGAGACUGCCGGUGACAAACCGGAGGAAGGUGGGGAGUGACGUCAAGUCAUCAUGGCCCUUACGGCCUGGGCUACACACGUGCUACAAUGGUCGGUACAAAGGGUUGCCAAGCCGCGAGGUGGAGCUAAUCCCAUAAAACCGAUCGUAGUCCGGAUCGCAGUCUGCAACUCGACUGCGUGAAGUCGGAAUCGCUAGUAAUCGUGAAUCAGAAUGUCACGGUGAAUACGUUCCCGGGCCUU
rnacentral:rRNA from 1 species